rnacentral:rRNA from 5 species
AAAACUUUCAACAACGGAUCUCUUGGCUCUGGCAUCGAUGAAGAACGCAGCGAAAUGCGAUAAGUAAUGUGAAUUGCAGAAUUCAGUGAAUCAUCGAAUCUUUGAACGCACAUUGCGCCCGCCAGCAUUCUGGCGGGCAUGCCUGUCCGAGCGUCAUUUCAACCCUCAGGGAGCCCCUUCGGGGGGGACCUGGUGUUGGGGGCCGGCCGCCCGCGCCGCCCCCGAAAUGCAGUGGCGACCUCGCCGCAGCCUCCCCUGCGUAGUAGCACAACCUCGCACCGGAGCGCGGAGACGGUCACGCCGUAAAACGCCCAACUUUCAAGAGUUGACCUCGGAUCAGGUAGGAAUACCCGCUGAACUUAAGCAUAUCAAUAAGCGGAGGAAAAGAAACCAACAGGGAUUGCCCCAGUAACGGCGAGUGAAGCGGCAACAGCUCAAAUUUGAAAUCUGGCCCCCAGGGCCCGAGUUGUAAUUUGCAGAGGACGCUUUUGGCGCGGUGCCUUCCGAGUUCCCUGGAACGGGACGCCACAGAGGGUGAGAGCCCCGUCUGGUCGGACACCAAGCCAGUGUAAAGCUCCUUCGACGAGUCGAGUAGUUUGGGAAUGCUGCUCUAAAUGGGAGGUAUAUGUCUUCUAAAGCUAAAUACCGGCCAGAGACCGAUAGCGCACAAGUAGAGUGAUCGAAAGAUGAAAAGCACUUUGAAAAGAGGGUUAAACAGUACGUGAAAUUGUUGAAAGGGAAGCGUUUGUGACCAGACUUGGGCCCGGCGAAUCAUCCAGCGUUCUCGCUGGUGCACUUCGCCGGGCCCAGGCCAGCAUCAGUUCGCCGCGGGGGACAAAAGCUUCGGGAACGUGGCUCCCUCGGGAGUGUUAUAGCCCGUUGCACAAUACCCUGCGGCGGACUGAGGUUCGCGCUCCGCAAGGAUGCUGGCGUAAUGGUCAUCAGCGACCCGUCUUGAAACACGGACCAAGGAGUCGUCUUCGUAUGCGAGUGUUCGGGUGUCAAACCCCUACGCGUAAUGAAAGUGAACGCAGGUGAGAGCUUCGGCGCAUCAUCGACCGAUCCUGAUGUUCUCGGAUGGAUUUGAGUAAGAGCAUACGGGGCCGGACCCGAAAGAAGGUGAACUAUGCCUGUAUAGGGUGAAGCCAGAGGAAACUCUGGUGGAGGCUCGCAGCGGUUCUGACGUGCAAAUCGAUCGUCAAAUAUGGGCAUGGG